rnacentral:rRNA from 1 species
CCUACGGGAGGCAGCAGUGGGGAAUAUUGGGCAAUGGGCGCAAGCCUGACCCAGCAAUGCCGCGUGAAGGAUGAAGGCUUUCGGGUUGUAAACUUCUUUGACAGGGGAUGAGCACAAGACGGUUACCUGAAAACAAGCCAAGGCUAACUACGUGCCAGCAGCCGCGGUUAUACGUAGGUGGCAAGCGUUGUCCGGAUUUACUGGGUGUAAAGGGCGUGUAGCGGGGUAGGCAAGUCAGAUGUGAAAUCCGGAGGCUCAACCUCCGACUUACAUUUGAAACUGUUUGUCUUGAGUACUGGAGAGGCAGACGGAAUUCCUUGUGUAGCGGUGGAAUGCGUAGAUAUAAGGAGGAACAUCAGUGGCGAAGGCGGUCUGCUGGACAGCAACUGACGGUGAGGCGCGAAAGCGUGGGGAGCAAACAGGAUUAGAUACCCGAGUAGUC